CCACCUGGGACUCCAGGGAAAAAGUGUGUGCUAGCUCAUUUCUGAAAUGCGUGAAGGAGUGGGGAUCACAGACUUCCCAGCACUCAUGGUGAUACAUAAAGCAUAAUAAAUAUAAAUAUAUAAUAAGCUCUGGACUUUGAGAAGACGUGCCAGCAACCACUAAAGCUCCCGGGAGCUCCUUCAAUCAGCCUCCUUCAGCUGGUAAGAGCCAUGAUUACAAGUGGGCUCACCCCACCCGUGGAGGGUCCUUCCCCCUAUUGAACACCUACCCGACACAACUGGUGUGCUGCUGGAAACCAGCCCCCAUGGCUGAAGUUAAGUUUUGCAGAGCACGUGGAGUUGGGUGUCUUGGAUGGCUUCUGCAGAUUGAACUUACUGAAUGCAGCUCACAUUGUACCCUGGCUGGAGCACGUGGUGUGUUAGCACUCCUCAGAGAGGCUGUCUGGAGAGCAGGGUGUGAAAAUACAAGUGAAUGAAACAAAGGAAGAGCAGUAGGAAGAUGGAGGAAUGUGGAUGUUGCAACAUCUUCAGUUUGGAAAAGGCUUCCUCAUCCUCCUUUGUCGGCUUUAUCAGAAAGUCAAGUGGCUUGGAGUUUCCAGAGACAGCCUGCAGAUUCUGUCUAGUUCUUUGGAGGAACAGUAGCCCCCUUGUAUGUGGCUUGAAGCUUUCCAUGGCUUUGGUUGGUGGUUUGGACUCUUGUGUCCCCCAACAAGUGGGAAUACCCCUGGAGCUUCUAGGCUGGUGCCUCCAAAAGACAUCUGCUGAAAUUGCACCCAAACUGCACCACUGUGUGGGAAGCUGACAGCUGGGGAAAUUUCUUCAAAAAAGCAUUGCGACUGUGAGUGAAGGCCUUGGUGUUAACACAGGUAUGGAUAACCUUGAAAACAUUUUACAAUGUCAUCUAGAAAAUAUUUAUUGGCAUGACCUUAAGAUGUUUUAAAUAGCUGGAGAAAAAGACUGCACAUCACAGACCUAGUUAAUCUUUGUGGAUAUUCUCC
rnacentral:lncRNA from 1 species